CCUACGGGAGGCAGCAGUAGGGAAUUUUCGGCAAUGGGGGGAACCCUGACCGAGCAACGCCGCGUGAAGGAAGAAGGAAUUCGUUCUGUAAACUUCUGUUAUAAGGGAAGAAAGACGGAUGGAGGAAAUGACAUUCGAGUGACGGUACUUUAUGAGAAAGCCACGGCUAACUACGUGACAGCAGCCGCGGUAAUACGUAGGUGGAAAGGUUUAUCCGGAAUUAUUGGGCGUAAGGAGGGAUAAGGUGGCAGCAAAGGUCUGUGGUGAAAGACUGAAGCUUAACUUCAGUAAGCAGUAGAAACCGGGCAGCUAGAGUGCAGGAGAGGAACGUGGAAGUCCAAGUGUAGCGGUGAAAUGCGUAGAUAUAAGGAGGAACACCAGUGGCGAAGGCGACGAUCUGGCCUGCAACUGACGCUCAGUCGCGAAAGCGUGGGGAGCAAAUAGGAUUAGAUACCCCGGUAGUC
rnacentral:rRNA from 1 species